GAAGACAGAAACAACAGCCACAGAGCUAAAAAGGAGAAGCAAGUGAGUCUCCAAAACUAAGUGAAAAAGAUGUGUUUUGAAGAAAAGGGAGUGAGCAACUGUGUUGAGUGCUGAAGACAGGUCAAGUAUAAAGAGGGCUGAGAUUGGACCACUGGAUUUGGCAGCAUGGAGGUACCUGAUGCCACCAAUUCCUGAGUUUUUCUGCUGUUCAGUGGAGUGGACUAUCGCCUUCAAAUUAGCCUGGCCCUGGGCAGCAACAUGGUGUAGUGAAAAGAAAGCAGGCUUUGGAAUGGAUAGAACUAUACUUGAAUCUCUGCUCUAUCACCUUAUCAUGUUAUGUCAAGCAAGUUACGGAACCUCCAUCAUUUGUCAGGUAGGGAAAUCUGUCUUAUGGUU
rnacentral:lncRNA from 1 species